UUAAAGGAUUGGAUAAACUAUUAUAACUUCAAUAUAUUACGUAAUCGUUUAAUAAGUUAGACUUUAUAACUUAUAUAAACAAUACUAUAAACUAAGAAUCAUACUUAAGGAGCACUUAUAUUAAUAUUUUCUAUUAAUUUCUAACUUACAAAAUACUCGUUUUGAAACUUAAAAGAACUCGUUCCUCGGAGCUCAGUAAGGACGAUAUCAAGGACGUAAGAAGAGGAUUAUUAUUAUUAUUAUUCUGCAAUCAAGGUACUGCUGGGGACGAUGGUACUGCGUAGUGGCAAGGAUUACCACCUUAUUAAAUCAUCUAGUAAUAGUGCUACUAACUUGUAAGGUUAACUUAACUAGAAUGAAAGACCAUAUACUUUAAUAUAAAUUAUCAUUGUCAUGUCAUGUAACGUUAACGUUGUUUACUUUAUUAUAUCAUAAGAUGUUUAAGUUAUCACUAUUAUCUCAUAAUGUUUAAAUAUGUUAUAUGAUUGUAGCCUUGCACCUUCCUAACCGAAGGUGCGGCAGUAAUGCCUCGACUAAAUAGGUAUUCCGCUGCUAAUUAGAUUAUCUUAAA